rnacentral:rRNA from 1 species
UACGUAGGGUGCAAGCGUUGUCCGGAAUUAUUGGGCGUAAAGAGCUCGUAGGCGGUCUGUCGCGUCGGCUGUGAAAACCUGGGGCUUAACUCCGGGCCUGCAGCCGAUACGGGCAGACUAGAGUUCGGCAGGGGAGACUGGAAUUCCUGGUGUAGCGGUGAAAUGCGCAGAUAUCAGGAGGAACACCGGUGGCGAAGGCGGGUCUCUGGGCCGAAACUGACGCUCAUGCACGACAGCGUGGGGAUCAAACAGG